GGCGCGGUGGCCUAAUGGUUAGGGAACUGGACUCUGGAUCAAGAGGUCUGGGUUCAAGCCCUGGCCGGGUUCA